rnacentral:rRNA from 1 species
GAUGAACGCUGGCGGCGUGCUUAACACAUGCAAGUCGAACGAUGAAGCCCAGCUUGCUUCGUUGGUUUGUGGCGAACGGGUGUGUAACACGUGAGUAACCUGCCCUUCACUCUGUGAUAAGCCUGGUGAACUGGGCCUAAUACUCGAUAUAACUGCUCAUCGCAUGUUGGCGGGUUUAAAGAUUUAUUGUUGUUGGAUGGACUCGCGGCCUAUCAGCUUGUUGGUGAGGUAAUGGCGCACCAAGGCGACGACGGGUAGCCGGCCUGAGAGGGUGACCGGCCACACUGGGACUGAGACACGGCCCAGACUCCUACGGGAGGCAGCAGUGGGGAAUAUUGCACAAUGGGCGCAAGCCUGAUGCAGCGACGCCGCGUGAGGGAUGACGGCCUUCGGGUUGUAAACCUCUUUCAGUAGGGAAGAAGCGAGAGUGACGGUACCUGCAGAAGAAGCGCCGGCUAACUACGUG